rnacentral:rRNA from 1 species
ACACGGAGCUUGCUCUGUGGGAUCAGUGGCGAACGGGUGAGUAACACGUGAGCAACCUGCCCCUGACUCUGGGAUAAGCGCUGGAAACGGCGUCUAAUACUGGAUAUGUGACGUGACCGCAUGGUCUGCGUUUGGAAAGAUUUUUCGGUUGGGGAUGGGCUCGCGGCCUAUCAGCUUGUUGGUGAGGUAAUGGCUCACCAAGGCGUCGACGGGUAGCCGGCCUGAGAGGGUGACCGGCCACACUGGGACUGAGACACGGCCCAGACUCCUACGGGAGGCAGCAGUGGGGAAUAUUGCACAAUGGGCGAAAGCCUGAUGCAGCAACGCCGCGUGAGGGAUGACGGCCUUCGGGUUGUAAACCUCUUUUAGCAGGGAAGAAGCGAAAGUGACGGUACCUGCAGAAAAAGCGCCGGCUAACUACGUGCCAGCAGCCGCGGUAAUACGUAGGGCGCAAGCGUUAUCCGGAAUUAUUGGGCGUAAAGAGCUCGUAGGCGGUUUGUCGCGUCUGCUGUGAAAUCCCGAGGCUCAACCUCGGGCCUGCAGUGGGUACGGGCAGACUAGAGUGCGGUAGGGGAGAUUGGAAUUCCUGGUGUAGCGGUGGAAUGCGCAGAUAUCAGGAGGAACACCGAUGGCGAAGGCAGAUCUCUGGGCCGUAACUGACGCUGAGGAGCGAAAGGGUGGGGAGCAAACAGGCUUAGAUACCCUGGUAGUCCACCCCGUAAACGUUGGGAACUAGUUGUGGGGUCCAUUCCACGGAUUCCGUGACGCAGCUAACGCAUUAAGUUCCCCGCCUGGGGAGUACGGCCGCAAGGCUAAAACUCAAAGGAAUUGACGGGGACCCGCACAAGCGGCGGAGCAUGCGGAUUAAUUCGAUGCAACGCGAAGAACCUUACCAAGGCUUGACAUAUACGAGAACGGGCCAGAAAUGGUCAACUCUUUGGACACUCGUAAACAGGUGGUGCAUGGUUGUCGUCAGCUC